rnacentral:rRNA from 1 species
UACGUAGGGUGCGAGCGUUGUCCGGAAUUAUUGGGCGUAAAGGGCUCGUAGGCGGUUUGUCACGUCGGGAGUGAAAACUCGGGGCUUAACUCCGAGCCUGCUUCCGAUACGGGCUGACUAGAGGUAUGCAGGGGAGAACGGAAUUCCUGGUGUAGCGGUGAAAUGCGCAGAUAUCAGGAGGAACACCGGUGGCGAAGGCGGAUCUCUGGGCCUUACCUGACGCUCAGGUGCGAAAGCUAGGGGAGCGAACAGG